rnacentral:sRNA from 1 species
AAAAAAUAAUCUUUUUCCUCUAUAUUUUAAUAUUUUAGGAACAAGUUCCAGUUCCAGUCUACCACCCAACACCUAGCCAGACUCGGCUAGCAACUCAGCUGACUGAAGAGGAACAAAUUAGGAUAGCUCAAAGAAUAGGUCUUAUACAACAUCUGCCUAAAGGAGUUUAUGACCCUGGAAGAGAUGGAUCAGAAAAAAAGAUCCGGGAGUGUGUGAUCUGUAUGAUGGACUUUGUUUAUGGGGACCCAAUUCGAUUUCUGCCGUGCAUGCACAUCUAUCACCUGGACUGUAUAGAUGACUGGUUGAUGAGAUCCUUCACGUGCCCCUCCUGCAUGGAGCCAGUUGAUGCAGCACUGCUUUCAUCCUAUGAGACUAAUUGAGCCAGGGUCUCUUAUCUGACUUCAAGUGAACCACCAUUUUGGUGGUUUUGAUCUUUUGUCACUGAGCCCAAAGAGCCAGGGAUUAGGAAUUAAGAUCGUGCACAAAAGUUUCCUUAAAAUUCCUGGAUGGCUGCAGAUGUUGGGGGAAAAAGUACGUGAUAUUUUAGAAACUUAGUGGGAAAAGUAGGAUGGUAUUUUUAUGUAAAGCCUUGAC